rnacentral:rRNA from 1 species
AUGGUAGGAUAGAGGCCUACCAUGGUGGUAACGGGUAACGGGGUGUUAGGGCACGACACCGGAGAGGGAGCCUGAGAAACGGCUACCACAUCCAAGGAAGGCAGCAGGCGCGCAAAUUACCCAAUCCCGACACGGGGAGGUAGUGACAAUAAAUAACAAUACAGGGUUCUUUGAAUCUUGUAAUUGGAAUGAGUACAAUUUAAAUCUCUUAACGAGGAACAAUUGGAGGGCAAGUCUGGUGCCAGCAGCCGCGGUAAUUCCAGCUCCAAUAGCGUAUAUUAAAGUUGUUGCAGUUAAAAAGCUCGUAGUUGAAUUUCGGGAUCAAUACGUCGGUCGUGCUUUCGGGUACGUACUGGCGUCAUUGGUUUCUCCUUUCUGACGAACCAUGAUGUCAUUAAUUUGGUGUUAUGGGGAGUUAGGACUGUUACUUUGAAAAAAUUAGAGUGUUUAAAGCAGGCAUUAGCUUGAAUACAUUAGCAUGGAAUAAUGAAAUAGGACGUUCGAUCCUAUUUUGUUGGUUUCUAGGAUCAACGUAAUGAUUAAUAGGGAUAGUUGGGGGCAUUAGUAUUCAAUUGUCAGAGGCGAAAUUCUUGGAUUUAUUGAAGACUAACUACUGCGAAAGCAUUUGCCAAGGAUGUUUUCAUUAAUCAAGAACGAAAGUUAGGGGAUCGAAGACGAUCAGAUACCGUCGUAGUCUUAACCAUAAACUAUGCCGACUAGGGAUCGGAUGAUGUUAAUUUUUUAAUGACUCAUUCGGCGCCUUACGGGAAACCAAAGUGUUUGGG